rnacentral:lncRNA from 1 species
GGGGCAGCUCCCUAAGGCACGGAAGUUACAGAUACCUCCUUUUCGAAGGGAUCUUGACAAUUACUGCCUGUAUCAUUGGGAUCACAGCCAUGACACGGAGGGAUGUAUCUAACUUCAGGAUGAGAUCAAAGAACUCAUCAUACAUGGUUGGUUAGAUUAGUUUAUUCGAUGAAGGAGGGAGUAGCCAGAGGACCAACGAAGGUCACUCUAGCCAGCUUAGCAAUCACAGCAGGUCGGGCUGUAGGAGGACCGACCCCCAGUUGGCAUAAUAAACACUAUUACUAGGGGCAA